GGAGUUUGGUCCGUGUCUCAGUACCAGUGUGGGGGACCUUCCUCUCAGAACCCCUAAGGAUCGAUGGCACGGUGGGCCGUUACCCCGCCGUCUACCUAAUCCCACGCAUCCCCAUCCAUGACCGAUGAAUCUUUACUGCAAUUCUGAUGCCAUCGUCGCAGAACAUCAGGUAUUAGGCUCCCUUUCGGAAGGUUAUCCCUGAGUCAUGGGCAGGUUGGAUACGCGUUACUCACCCGUGCGCCGGUCGCCAUCUAUCAAAGCAAGCUUCGAUAAUGCUGCCCCUCGACUUGCAUGUGUUAAGCCUGUAGCUAGCGUUCAUC
rnacentral:rRNA from 1 species